rnacentral:rRNA from 1 species
CCUACGGGUGGCUGCAGUGGGGAAUAUUGGACAAUGGGCGGGAGCCUGAUCCAGCCAAGCCGCGUGAGUGAAGAAGGUACAGCGUAUCGAAAACAUCUUUUGUCGGGGGACAAAGGCGGGGACUAGUCCCCGGAUGAGGGUACGUGAAGAAAAAGCAUCGGCUAAGUCCGUGCCAGCAGCGGCGGUAAGACGGGGGAUGCGAGAGUUAUCCGGAUUUGUGGGGUUUAAAGGGCGCGCAGGCGGCCUGUUAAGUCAGCGGUAAAAGCCCGGGGCUCAACCCCGGCGAGCCGUUGAAACUGGCAGGCGGGAGUUGGAGAGAAGUACGCGGAAUGCGCGGUGUAGCGGUGAAAUGCUUAGAUAUCGCGCAGAACCCCGAUUGCGAAGGCAGCGUCCUGGCUCCACACUGACGCUGAGGCACGAAAGCGUGGGUAUCGAACAGGAUUAGAUACCCGUGUAGUC